rnacentral:lncRNA from 13 species
CUACGUUAUUCAACAUGCAGUAUAUCCCUGUCCUCCUGGACAUAGCGUCAUCUACGUUAUUCAACAUGCAGUAUAUCCCUGUCCUCCUGGACAUAGCGUCACCUACGUUAUUCAACAUGCAGUAAAUCCCUGCCCUGGCAACUUACUCCAUAUAGUGCACUGCUGGUCAAAACGUAGUACACUGUAUAGGGAAUAUGGUGUAAUUUCAGAAGCCCCCAAAGACCUUGUGGUCCAUACACCACAACAUGGAGGUAUGGCACAGAGAGAGCUGGAACACUGGAUAUAAAGAUAUUACAGUGACAACACUGAGAAGUGUACCAAGCUGAUGGCACAUCAGAUGGUCUACCACAGUACAGCACCAGUACAGGUUCCUCUGUCUCAGGUGUGACAUUUUCUCCCCUCAUCCUCCUCCCCCUCAGUGUUGAAGAGCGUCCCCUUCACAGCCCGUACUGCUAAACGAGGCUCACGGUUCUUCUGUGAUGCACAGCUGUGUGACGACUCCAACUGCUAGUCCCUACAGUUCCUCCCCCCCUAAUGCCAAGAUCUCCGCAGCCAGCCUUUUCUGCGGCACGACACGCUGAUCCGGAGCGGCUGGAAGAGACCCUAAACAAACCACUCGUUCUUCCUCCCUUAUCAUCCCUUCCUUUUAUAACCCCCCCCCCUCCUGUGUCUCGGUGGUCUCACCCACCCGAGGCUGCACAGAGACUAAAAGGUGGACAGGACCGAACCAAUGGCCCUUGUUUUACAGGGGUAUUUAUUUAUUUAUGGAGAUCCUUUAUGGACACUGUCUCUCAACAAGCAGGUAUAACUGUAGUAUCACCGACAUAGCCUACCCUCCUCUCCCACUGCAAACACACACCGCACACAUGCACACACACAGAUAAUAUUAAGAACAGGACUGGGCAGAAAGAGUCCAAAGAAGAAGAGUAUAGUGGUGAGUUGAGCCCUUAAAGGGGCGGCUCACCUCACACAAGCAGGAAGGAAGGACACUUCAACUGCAUAAGGUGGACAUGGAACCACAAGUGCCUGCUAAUGUGGAUCUUAUUUCCAUGAACCUCGAUUUCCUCAGAUUGUGCAAUCCAAGCAAGAUUGAGACUGGGAGACAGUCAGUCAAGUCACUUGGAUAAAUGACAGCAUAUGUUGACUCUACUGCUGGGAUUUCCACUUCAAAGAGAACUGGGUUGUGUUCAUAAGGCACCAAACGGAAGAAAACAGAAUGAAACAGGGAGGGACUACCUGGACCAAUAAGAAUCGUCAUUUUGGUUUCCGUUGCAAAACGUUUUAGGUUGUGUGCUCUACCUAAUGAAUAGGACCCAGGGUUUUGCCUUCACAUGAUGUCUCUGUCCACCGAUUUCAAAAAGGACUGAAGAUUAUUGUCAUAUCGGUGUCUUUUCUGGACAAGCUAGCCAAACCAAACGUCCUCUACUCUUGUGUCUUAUUUCUUAUUGUGCUAAAAAAAAAAGUGCCUUUUUGACAGUAUUAUUUUUACGUGACUCAGCCAUAAUGUGUAUCUUUAAAUUCUUUUUUUGUUAGAUUGUAUUUUGUAUUGCCUUUGUAUGAUAACAUUUAAAUACUGUCAAAAAAAAAAUCUGAAUCUCAGCUUUAAUCACUAACAUAUCUAAAGGUUGCUUCUCAGUGCUAUAAUAUAAAUGAGCGUAGGCCAAGUGUCGCUAAACGCGACAGAGUGGGUUAAAACAUUCAAUGUUUUUGCUGUCUAUUACUUCUUCAUCUUUAUCACCUACUACAGUACAAUCACCACUUCAGUCGUACCAUUUCAUUACGACUUAAUUACCACUUCAGUCUUAAACACUCCCAAGUUUAAACUGAAUUAUUUCAAACCACUGACUAAGAACCAUAAGGAACAUGACCUUGCUCAGAAGUUGAAAGCAACAGUAAAGUUGGUCUGAAUGUUAUGUAACUGACAAGACUUUCUUGCUUAGCAAGUGAU